rnacentral:lncRNA from 1 species
AUUGCAUCAGCUUGUUAUUUCUUCUUAAUUUUGUUUCAUACAUAUUAUUUAUUUAUUUAUUUCACUUUUAAUUUUGAACUUCAUAUCUCUCUUCUUACUGUUUAUAUGAGUUUUAUGUAUAUAACUUUCAGUUUUUUUUUUAAUUUAAAAUUUAUAUGUACUUUUUUUUAUGUAUAUAUACUGUAUUGUUUUACUAUAUGUAUGUAUAUUUACUUUUGUUUUCU